rnacentral:rRNA from 1 species
UACAGAGGUCUCAAGCGUUGUUCGGAUUCAUUGGGCGUAAAGGGUGCGUAGGUGGCGCGGAAAGUCGGGUGUGAAAUUUCGGAGCUUAACUCCGAAACUGCAUUCGAUACUGCCGUGCUUGAGGACCGGAGAGGAUAGUGGAAUUCCCAGUGUAGUGGUGAAAUACGUAGAGAUUGGGAAGAACACCAGUGGCGAAGGCGGCUAUCUGGACGGUUUCUGACGCUAAGUACGCGAAAGCGUGGGGAGCAAACAGG